ACUCACUGGGAUUUCUGUUCCAGCAGCCUCUCCGUUCUAGUUGUGUAUCCACUACACACAUUUUUGGUUGGUGUCUACAAUGCCUCGGCUCCAUGCUGGGCACUGAGGACACUGCAAUGCACCAGAAAUGAUCCCUGCCCUGCAGGAGCUGCAAUUGCCUCUUGGUGACUGUUUCUGACACACUUUAUGUGGAAGUUGGUUCAAUCAGGAAAGAGACACCUCUUUGGACCCCCAUCUCUCACCCAGUCCACACUUCCUGGUGGUGACUGGUCGGCUCCCUAGUUUCCUGGUCUGGCCUGAGCAGCCGGAUCUUCUCCUACGUACCUGCUUCAUUUUUCCUGCUGCCUGAAGAGAGCCCUUGGGACCCAUCCUCCCCCGUCCUUUAUUUGUGUAGUCUUAUGAAGAAUCCGCAGCGUAAGAAUUACUUUCUAACAAUGGCAUCUAAGAGUGGAAAGUUUAACUCAUCCAGCAAAACAGAACAUGGAGACUGAGGACAGAAAAGAGAAAGAAGCGUAGGGCAAGACCCCUCCUCCAAAUUGCAGUCCUUUAGGAAUUUCUGGAGAGGUAACCUGGGGUCUCCCCAAGCUUCCUGCAGCCCAACCAACCAACCCACCAACCUGGCUGAUGCAUAUGUGGAAUAUCGGCUUCCUGUUCUCUGAAGGGCAAAAAGGACACUGAAGUAUAGCCUACAGGCUCUGCGGCCCAAAGCUCAUUAAGAAGAUAAUAGAUUUAGGCCAGCCGCAGUGGCUCACGCCUGUAAUCCUAGCAUUUUAGGAGGCCUAGGUGGGUGGAUUGCCUGAGCUCAGGAGUUCGAGAUCAGCCUGGGCAACAUGGUGAAACCUCGUCUCUACUGAAAUACAAAAAAUUAGCCAGGCCUGAUGGUGUACGCCUGUAGUUCUAGCUACUCGGGGGGCUGAGGCAGGAGAAUUGCUUGAACUGGGGAGACGGAGGUUUCAGUGAGCUGAGACUGCAUCACUGCACUCCAGCCUGGGUGACAGAGCAAGACUCUGUCUCAAAAAAAAAAAAAAAAAAAAGAAGAAGAAGAUAAUAGAUUUAGAAGACACACAAAUAAUUGUUUAAAAGAAUGGCCCUAAUGUGCUGCAGUCUGAGGUGGAAGGUUAGUAAGGUCUGGACUUCCUCGGAAUAUGACUGAGUUUUCAGAUCACGUGAGACGUCUUCAUGGAAGACAUUGAGGUAGUUACCACAUCUUCUGGAUGUCCCACAGCCAACAGCAUAUCAAUUUGGGCUCCUUCAGACAUUAAAAGCAGGAAUUGGAUUAGUGUAGCUGCCGGAGGUUUCCCACUGUCUCCACUCCCAGUUUCCACGUGCAUUUCCUCUGGUGCUCAUCAAGUGUACAGUGCUGCUGUGGUGAGAAUUUGUCAAAUGAGUCUCCAGUCUCAGAAGGUCUAUGUAAAUGGGGUUUCAAGUCAUCACAGGGACUGAAUUUAGUCUCAAGUACCAUAAAGAAAAUACUUUUAAAGCUCUUCUAAAAAUAAAGCUCCUCUGAAGAGAUGUUUGGCCUGUGGCUAAUGUGUUUGGAAACAUGUUUUCUGUAAAACUCAACCUUAUUCAUCUACUUGCAAAUCCAGAAAGACAACUUUCACUACACACAUCAGGGCUUGUCCCAAAUUUUCCCUACUCACAGUGGAAGAUGCCGGGGUGUGAACCAUUGGCUUAAGGUGCCUCUGCCUCCCUUUCCCCAAAACAGUUUAGGAAGGGAGGGUUUGGGUCUAGUGUCCAGCCUGGGCUCAGCUUUGGAUGCUGGCAACCUGGACCUAGGCACACCAGGGAGGCUGCUUUCUUUGCCCUUGUCUUGCCACUUCCCAUCUCCCAUGUCAUAGGAGGAGCUUGGAAGGAGCUGAAGGCCGUCACCUUCCUACAAAGCAGAGAGAUCCUCUCUCCAAGAACGGCUUUUGCUGCCCUCUGGGUCCUGCUAUUUCCAUGGCUCCUGAAGAAUCAGCCUCUGAUAUUUCAAUUGCCCCUUCAUCAGAACUGUCAAACCUGGUGAAUCUCUUCUCUUUUUCUCUGGCUCACUCUCUCUAAAACACGCAUCUUAAACAAGUUUUAAAAUCCCUGAAGAAUGGCAGAAAUACAAAGAACUCAAUUCCAAAUAAUAUUGUCAUGUUCUGCUGCAUAGUUGAGGUAAUCACCGUUAAGUAAGUGCAGGUAUGGGUGACUCUCUAAGACAAGGAUGAAAGUACAGUGGACAGGUGAGCCCAUGGCCCAGGACUCAGGCACUCACAGCCUCCCACGUUUCUUCUCUAUUUCACAAUUGCUGAUCCAAGGCGGGAGGGGUGCCAUUCAUGUGUGGCAUUCACAUGAGAGAGGUGGGCAUUGUGGGUCCUCAGUGCAGGGCCUGUUGUGUCCUCAAUGAACCCAGGAUUGAGUCCCACAGUGGACAGACUUUGCCAACUUUUAUAAAUCUCUCUCAAGACACUCUCCUCCAAUAUUGCACCUUGAACUGAUGUAAUUUCUUGUAGCGAAAAAAUUAAAAUCUAUCCUUUUUGACCUUCAUAUGCAACAUGCAUAUCAAGAGAGUUGUCUUAGCAGCAGCAAUUUUAUAUUGGGAGAUUUGAGCAUGGACUGGCUGUUGGGAGAGCUUUAUGAGGCAUUCCAUGAUGUCUUGGCUUUAAUUUUGCUUUUAUUUUGAUGUGACAAGAUGUGUUGGACUGAGAUGCCUUUGGGCUCUAGCCCUGGAAUUUACAAAAAGAGAAUACUGCAGGGUUAUGGUGGGGGUGAGGCUGGAAGAUGUUACCCACUCACAAAGCUUCAGCACAGCAACAUAUGUUAGAAGAAUAAACUAACAUUGGAACAGUAAAUACACACAUACACACACACACACACACACAUACACACACACACACACAGAGUGGGAGAGAGUGAGAGAGAGUGCAAAGCCAGUGUUAAAUCCUGGACAUCCCUGCAGGGUCCUCAUGCCUGCCUUUUUCUCUUAGUCUUGUGGGGGUGGGGAAACUCUUUGGUAUUCUCCUUUCUCACUUGUAGGAAUAUAAGGAGGAAAGGAACCAGAAGUAAAGUGUCUGGGCCUCUCUCAGCCAUGCUUUUCAUUUCCACUUAUUAUCUAAAGUAAUUCAUUACUACUUCUGUGCUCUCUUUUCAUCUUUUCCUUGAGCCUCCCCUGAGCUCCCUUGAAGGUGGCAGGUGACAGGCUGGCUUGACCAGAACAAAGACAGUUAUCCCUGGCUGCCGCCUGUUUCCCAAUGGGUGCCUGCCCUGUCUUGUUACACUUCCUCUGUGUGUCUAAUUUACACUGCAAGCCCUCUGGGCAGUGGCUUUUUUUUUCUUUUUUAAAAAAUUAUCUGCUCUUCUCUGCUUACGACUGAAGUUUAACUUCUGCACCCCAACUCCUCCUCAUUCUUAAGAAAAUGCCAACAGAAAAAUAUUAAAAUGAUUGCUGCUGUAUGUAAAGACAGAAGGGUAAAACCGAGGCACUGGAGGCUUUGGGUGGGUAUUGAUGGAGGUCUGGGAGCAGCUGGUGAUUGACAGGGAGAAGAGCUGAAUUAGUUAAGGAAGGGUCUCCUGGGUUUUGCUGGGAGUGGUGGCCAGACACAGACAAGGACAAGGAAGAAGGCCAGGACCUCUGAUUGCUUUUCUCAGAACAGAAAAGAUAUUAUUAUUUGAACCUAGAGGCUGGGCAGUUUCCUGUCAUAGAAAAACUGACUGGCCUCAUGGCCAGAGAAAGGUACCAACUACUUUCUUUGGUAUUUAUGGUUCUCGUAUCCAACGUAGGAAGUUAGGGCUAGACAACAUCUGGAAGUAUCUGGUAGAAGUAUCUAUUUAUUUAAAUCAUCCAUCCAUUCAUCUAUCCAUCCAUUCAUCCACUGAUCCAUCCAUCCACAAUGAUUAACUGCAGUGAAAGAGAAGACAUUUUUAGAAGAUAAAUGUGGUCAAAUGUCCUAAAGUUUUAUUCGCUUGCAUGCAAGUAACCGUGAUGUGUCUGGAGGACUGGAGGGCUGGAAAUGAAAGGAGAAAAGCAAUUAUCUGGGCCCAUGGAUUUGGGAAGCAGAUAUGGGGAUCCUCUCACUGCUGACAGAGCCCCAGUAAAGCAUCUGGAAGGGUUUUAAACAGAAUGAGGGUGUAACAAUGACAGACGUAUUCUUCCUCCUUCAAAAUCCACAACAAAAUAAACAACCACCACCAAAAAAAAAAAAAAAAAAAAAAAAAAAAUAGGAGAGGUCAAUUCAGGAAACUUUCCUAGAAAAGUACAUGAGGUAGAAGAGAAAGGAUAGGGAGGAGACCAAGCAUUCUAGGUUGCAAGGAAGACCUAGGGGAUGCCUGAGGGUGGGGAUGAAGGGACUGACAAACAUGUUCCAUGGGCCAUCUAUGGGUAGGGCACUCGGUCGUGAGAGUAGUGAUGGCACCUGAGGCAGGGCUACAGGAAUAGAUGAGGUAGGGAGCCCUGUCAGGGUGCAGUAAGCAUCCCAUGGAGAAGGCACGCACUGUGGGCCUGGAGCUUACUGGGGAGGUGGAACAAGCAGGGAAGCAGUCCUUGGUGCAAGCAAGGAUGCACAUUCCACAUCAGGCUGCCCGCCCACGAGGAGGGCCUACACUUGUGGCUCUGAAUCCAUGUGGAGGCGGAAACGGUCUGGUUAAGAUAGUGACAAUGUGCUUUGUGUUUGUGCCUGAAGGGCCAGGGACCACGCUGUGGCACAAUGAAGGCAUUGAGAGUCAGCAGUCCCCAAGACUAGGUGUCCUAACAAGAUGCCAAGACCCAGAGAGACAAGAGCUGAGCCCUUGCCAUGAAGGUGCCGAGAGCUGUGGUCUCAGCCCUUGGAAAUAUCAUCAAAAGAAGCUGUUCCGAGCAAAAUGCAUUCCAUGUGUUGGCCUUGCCCAUGUGUUUCUUGUCAAUGAGGCCGAUCUUCCUGGGUUCAGAAGGGUUUCUGUUUGAAAUUUUAUGAGCCUUGGCUGGGAAGCAGAACUUAUCCCUGAGUUUGUGGGAGUUAAUGGCCUUUUCUGGCGGCACAACUCUGGGGGCCUCAGGGAAUUCCCAAAUGCCAGGAAAGAAGAAACCCAUAGCCCGUAUUUCAACUGAAAAUUAUGCUUUAUUUAUAGGCAGCCAUGGAGAAAAGACUCCCCAGAACACUUCUCCAGCGUCACCUCAGUGUGGUGUGUCUGGGCUCACAGGCCCUUCCUUGGGGUGACCCUUACAGCUCAUGCCAGCACUCUGUGGAAAAGAUAUGCCUCACUCCCCAGUGCCAAAUAAAGACAUCAGCCUACAUCCAGAGCAGAAACAGCAUUUGUUCCUGAGUCUUCCAUUUUUGCCAUUUAAAUAGAGAAGUCAAACUAUUCCUUGAUACACUCUUGUCCCCCUAAUUUACUUCAACCAACACGUAUGGGGCACAGACUGGGAACUGGUCAUUUUAUUGGGCAUCAUUAUGAGCACAAAGGGACAGAUAUGAGAUGGGCAAUCCAGAAGGUCUUGGUUCAAGCCAUUUCCUUCCAUUGUCUAUCAAGUUCUGUCACCGGGACAAAUCAUUUCCCCUCCCUGGACCUCUGCCUCCUCAUUUGUCAAAUGAGGAGCUUGGACCAAUGAAUAUGAAUUCUGAAGAAAUUCAGUGUAAGAGGAAGAGUCUUAAAAUACUAGUCCUAAAAGGUUAAUUGAAGGAGAUUCAUGGAAGUGAUGCAAAUAUUGGUGUUUUGUAUGAGUGACACUUAACUGCUUCUUGUCUAUGGCAAAUGAUAUUCCUGGGGUAGCUAAGAAAGACCCUUUCGCUGCCUGGCGUGGCCCUCUGUGAACCCUGCUAGCCUGACAUGUCAUAUCAGAGCUCCCUGCAGAGGAGUUGCUGUUCACAGCAAUCAUCUGGGCCAGGCUCUUGACCUGUACCCCUGUCAGUGCUUUGCUGUCUUGGCCUGACCCUUGGCCUUAGCUGUUCUCUGCCCUUUGGACUUGGGGUUGCUAUUUUCUCUUCCCAUCUUGAUUCUCAGUUUUCCCUCAAGGUCUUGGCUGAGACCCACCCAUGGACUCACCUUUCUUUUUUCAAACUACCUCAGAUAGGAUUUGAGUGCCCUGUUUGAUCCCUUGUGACUCAAUUUCUGUUGCUGGACAAAGAAAAAAGAAAGGCAAGGGAAUUGGAAACUUUACAGUAUAAUACUCUGCUCAGCAGUAAGUAUUGCACCAGAAUUUUAGUCAAAAGGAGUAUGUAUAAAAUAAACCAUGUUAGAUCGAGCUAAAAUAUGACUCACUGAGAAUUCCAACUCUAGGUCUUAGAUUUUUCCUUUGAGGUUACACAUGAACAAGCCUAAUUCCUUCUCAUAUGAUAGAUCUUCACAUAUUUAAGUAUAAUGAUCGAGCCCCCAGCCUUCGGUGACCACCCCCUCUCCUGCCAAGUCAGUUCUUCUCUAGGCAAAACAAGUCAAUUUCUCUAGCAUUCCUCAGAUAUUUUGGUUUUGAAUCCUUUUGCCGACGUGACGGCUCUUCCUAAUCCAGUUCAACUGAUUUCUGUUCCUCUUCCUUUGAGGUGCCUGCAGCUUCAUGCAACACUCUAGACAGGCUCCAGUCAACCCAGGGAACUGAAAUCUUUUGCCUUAAAUUGAUGCUUCCCAAAGUGUGUUCCAUUCAUCCAAGCCCCUGUGACAUGCUCUGGAGGUCAAGGGUAGGUGGUCACUUAGUUUCACAGUCAAAUAUGUUUGGGAAAUCCUGCAGACUAAUAUCCCUCUUGGAGAUUUCAGAAUCUGUGUUAGAGUACUAAAGGAUCUGAGUAGUCCUGUUUACCUUUACUUCAUCUAAUUUUUCCCGAAUUAUUCGACCACUGAGCCGUUUGUUAAAGUAUUACUCAUUAACCUCCCUAGUGUGCCAUGAAGCUUUGGGUGGCACUGUUCAACUUCCAUUUAAGCCAUCUGAAAUCAUUUAUUUUUUUCCUCUUUCCCUCCCUUUCUCCGUUCUUUUCUUCCUUCUUCUAUCACACUAUUAUUACAUAUUGAUUUUAGUGUCAAUCAAACCUCCUACAUAUUUUUCAAACCUGUUGCUGAUAAAUCAUAUGUAAAGUCCUUCACCCUUCUUCCCUUUAUUUGGGCAGCUGUUAUUUGAUAUUCAUCACUUAUGUAUUAAGCAUGCCUUUAUUUAAGCCCUUAAUAAAAAUGAAACUUCAUAAAUAUUUGUUGAAUAAGUACAGGACUGAGGCCUAUACCCUUUGGACAUGGUAAUUCAAUUAGCUAUUAAUUAUCCUAAUCACACUAAUAUUCAGCCCAUGUUUCUCUAUGCUUGUCCGUGAGGCUAUCUUGAAAUGCUUGUCAAAUGCUUUGCUGCAAUCAGAUUCACUAUGAAGUUAGAUUUCAUAAUCUACCAGUCUAGAGCCAUCUUGUUGAAGCAGGAGAUGAAAUUAAUAUGGUAGGACUUUGUACUUCAGGUUCCUGCGCAGGAGUUUAGAAACACAGGUGAGCCUUGAUGGGAGGGUAGGAUUUAAAAAAUGGAGGGGAUCAUAAAAAGGAUUGUGGGCUGGUUGGGGUAAGCAUGAGUAACGGACUACAGGCAAGUGUAAACAUGUUGGGAAUGGUUAGGAUAAAUUUAACAAUAUUUAUCCAGUGUUCACUAUUGUGAGGUUUUAUGCAGGGAGCUGGCAGCAAGGGGGUUGGUUGAGAUGGAUAAAUAGCUAAUAAUUAACUUUAUAAGUACCACUUAAAAGAUAAAAUGUGAUGAGUGUUACAUAAAAGGAAGGAGUAAAGUAACAUAGAACAUUUGUUCUGCAGAGUCAGGGAAGGCUUCACAAUACAGGUGGCCCCUGAGCAGCUAUGAAGAUUGGGCAGGGCUCUGCCAGAGAAUGAUAGAGGGCUUCAGGAUUCAAAACUUUGAUGAUGGAACAGAUCUGUGAAUGGAGGUGUCAAUGGAUUAACAUGACUUCCAGAUUCAUGACCUCUUUCUUGGACCUGGGCAAAGCCUUGUGGCAUUUUAGAUGGAGCUGGGUGACUGGCACUAUGACCUUGGGCUCUGCCUGAACCUCACGUGGAUCAUCUAUAACAUAAAGGUAGUAGUAUGACAGUGGGGGUGAGGAUUGCAUAAACAGUGGAAGUAAAUCUCCCACAUAUCAGGGGUGCUUACUGAACCUCCUUCCUCUCAUCUCUCCCAGCC
rnacentral:lncRNA from 1 species